rnacentral:rRNA from 1 species
GCACAAGCGGUGGAGCAUGUGGUUCAAUUCGACGCAACGCGAAGAACCUUACCCAGGCUCGAACGGCAUCUGACAUCCGGCGAAAGCCGGCUCCCGCAAGGGCAGGUGCCGAGGUGCUGCAUGGCUGUCGUCAGCUCGUGUCGUGAGAUGUUGGGUUAAGUCCCGCAACGAGCGCAACCCUUGUCCGCUGUUGCCAUCACGUUAUGGUGGGCACUCUGCGGAGACUGCCGGUGAUAAACCGGAGGAAGGUGGGGAUGACGUCAAGUCAGCAUGGCCUUUAUGUCUGGGGCUACACACGUGCUACAAUGGCCGAUACAAACCGUCGCGAUACCGCAAGGUGGAGCUAAUCGGAGAAAGUCGGUCUCAGUUCGGAUUGCAGGCUGCAACUCGCCUGCAUGAAGUUGGAAUCGCUAGUAAUCGCGGAUCAGCACGCCGCGGUGAAUACGUUCCCGGGC